GACGAACCGUGCGAACGUUAUUCGGAAUCACUGGGCUUAAAGCGCGCGUAGGCGGGUGGGAGCGUCGGCCACUGAAAGCCCCCGGCUCAACCGGGGAAGGGGUGCCGAGACGUCCCGCCUGGAGGGGCGUAGGGGGACCCGGAACUUCCGGUGGAGCGGUGAAAUGCGUUGAGAUCGGAAGGAACGCCCGUGGCGAAAGCGGGGUCCUGGACGCCAACUGACGCUGAGGCGCGAAAGCUAGGGGAGCAAACGGG
rnacentral:rRNA from 1 species